AUUGAACGCUGGCGGCAUGCCUUACACAUGCAAGUCGAACGGUAGAGGGGGCAACCCCUUGAGAGUGGCGAACGGGUGAGUAAUGCAUCGGAACGUGCCCAGUAGUGGGGGAUAGCCCGGCGAAAGCCGGAUUAAUACCGUAUACGACCUACGGGUGAAAGCGGGGGACCUUCGGGCCUCGCGCUAUUGGAGCGGCCGAUGUCAGAUUAGCUAGUUGGUGGGGUAAAGGCCCACCAAGGCGACGAUCUGUAGCUGGUCUGAGAGGACGACCAGCCACACUGGGACUGGGACGCGGCCCAGACUCCUACGGGAGGCAGCAGUGGGGAAUUUUGGACAAUGGACGAAAGUCUGAUCCAGCCAUGCCGCGUGCGGGAAGAAGGCCUUCGAGUUGUAAACCGCUUUUGUCAGGGAAGAAAUCUUCUGGGCGAAUAACCUGGGAGGAUGACGGUACCUGAAGAAUAAGCACCGGCUAACUACGUGCCAGCCGCCGCCGUAAGAC
rnacentral:rRNA from 1 species